rnacentral:rRNA from 1 species
GACGUAGGGCGCGAGCGUUGUCCGGAUUUAUUGGGCGUAAAGAGCUCGUAGGCGGUCUGUCGCGUCUGCUGUGAAAUCUGGGGGCUCAACCCCCAGCCUGCAGUGGAUACGGGCAGGCUAGAGGUAGGUAGGGGAGAAUGGAAUUCCCGGUGUAGCGGUGAAAUGCGCAGAUAUCGGGAGGAACACCGGUGGCGAAGGCGGUUCUCUGGGCCUUACCUGACGCUGAGGAGCGAAAGCGUGGGGAGCGAACAGG